UACGUAGGGUGCGAGCGUUAAUCGGAAUUACUGGGAGUAAAGCGUGCGCAGGCGGCUUUGCAAGACAGAUGUGAAAUCCCCGGGCUCAACCUGGGAACUGCAUUUGUGACUGCAAGGCUAGAGUACGGCAGAGGGGGAUGGAAUUCCGCGUGUAGCAGUGAAAUGCGUAGAUAUGCGGAGGAACACCAAUGGCGAAGGCAAUCCCCUGGGCCUGUACUGACGCUCAUGCACGAAAGCGUGGGGAGCAAACAGG
rnacentral:rRNA from 1 species